rnacentral:rRNA from 1 species
ACGUAGGAGACUAGCGUUAUCCGGAUUUACUGGGCGUAAAGCGCGUGCAGGCGGUUCAGCAAGUUGGAUGUGAAAGCUCCCGGCUUAACUGGGAGAGGUCGUUCAAUACUACUGGACUAGAGAGUGGUAGAGGGAGGUGGAAUUCCGGGUGUAGUGGUGAAAUGCGUAGAUAUCCGGAGGAACACCAGUGGCGAAAGCGGCCUGCUCGGCCUUGCCUGACGCUCAGACGCGAAAGCAUGGGGAGCGAACGG